UACGGGAGGCAGCAGUGGGGAAUAUUGCACAAUGGGCGAAAGCCUGAUGCAGCUAUGCCGCGUGUAUGAAGAAGGCCUUAGGGUUGUAAAGUACUUUCAUCGGGGAGGAAAAACAAAACUAAUAAUUUUAUUUCUUGACGUUACCCGAAAAAGAAGCACCGGCUAACUCCGUGCCAGCAGCCGCGGUAAUACGGAGGGUGCUAGCGUUAAUCAGAAUUACUGGGCGUAAAGAGCACGUAGGUGGUUUUUUUAAGUCAGAUGUGAAAUCCCUGGGCUUAACCUAGGAACUGCAUUUUGAAACUGAAAUACUAGAGUAUCGUAGAGGGAGGUAGAAUUCUAGGUGUAGCGGUGAAAUGCGUAGAUAUCUGGAGGAAUACCUGUGGCGAAAGCGGCCUCCUAAACGAAUACUGACACUGAGGUGCGAAAGCGUGGGGAGCAAACAGGAUAGAUACC
rnacentral:rRNA from 1 species